GGAAGCGUGGCAGAGCGGUCGAUUGCACCGGUCUUGAAAACCGGCAGCCCGCAAGGGCUCGUGAGUUCGAAUCUCACCGCUUCCGCCA
rnacentral:tRNA from 1 species